AACGGUCAUACCACAUUAAAACACGGGUUCUCGUACGAUCACCGAAGUUAAGCAACGUCGAACCUGCAUUACCUAGAUGGGUGAUCGCUUGAGAAUAUCUGUUGCUGUAAG